UCUGUACAUCUCAAGAGCAACAAGAAUGUGUUCCUUCCCACCCUUUGCUUGAGAAGUAAAACUCUGCAAGGGUUUGGCUCCAGGGUCCCUUGAGAGAGAGUUGGUUCCGACUCUGAGCAAAGAGGAAGGAAAAGGGGGUCCUGCAAGGAGAGGAUGAGGGGAAGACCCCCUUUUCUAGGGGUGGGGGAGAGGGAUUGGGCUCCCAGGUCAAGAGAGCACCUUGUAUCCUGGCACUGAAAAGACACCCCCCCAC